rnacentral:tRNA from 1 species
GGAAGGGUGUCAGAGUGGUCGAAUGUGCCACCUUGGAAAGGUGGUAUACCGCAAGGUAUCGCAGGUUCAAAUCCUGUCCCUUCUGCCA